UGGGGAAUUUUGCACAAUGGGGGAAACCCUGAUGCAGCGACGCCGCGUGAUUUAGAAGGCCUUCGGGUUGUAAAAAUCUUUUCUAUGGGAAGAAAAUGACAGUACCAUAGGAAUAAGGACCGGCUAAUUACGUGCCAGCAGCCGCGGUAAUACGUAAGGUCCGAGCGUUGUCCGGAAUCAUUGGGCGUAAAGGGUACGUAGGCGGGUAAGCAAGUUAGAAGUGAAAUCCUGUAGCUCAACUAUAGUAAGCUUUUAAAACUGCUCAUCUUGAGGUAUGGAAGGGAAAGUGGAAUUCCUAGUGUAGCGGUGAAAUGCGCAGAUAUUAGGAGGAAUACCGGUGGCGAAGGCGACUUUCUGGCCAUAACCUGACGCUGAGGUACGAAAGCGUGGGUAGCAAACAGG
rnacentral:rRNA from 3 species